GGGUUAAUGAAAAACUUGAGGAAUGUUUAUUCUGAGGGGACGGCAUGUCCCUUAUAAAGCAAAAUUACAUCAUAUGCAUUGUCAGAGAUAACAUGGAAUAAUACAUCAAUAAUUGGUUAGGUGUUAAGUGGUUCAUUUAGUGCUCUUCCUACCGGGUGUGAUGUCACUGGUAUCUUGGAGGUCUCCUCCAGAUUCAAGCGCCAUCUUGUUAAUGAGGGUGUUAGUCGAUGUCAAAGGG